rnacentral:rRNA from 1 species
UACAGAGGUCUCAAGCGUUGUUCGGAUUCAUUGGGCGUAAAGGGUGCGUAGGCGGUGAUGCAAGUCUGGUGUGAAAUCUCGGAGCUCAACUCCGAAAUUGCACCGGAUACUGCGUGACUCGAGGACUGUAGAGGAUAUCGGAAUUCACGGUGUAGCAGUGAAAUGCGUAGAUAUCGUGAGGAACACCAGUUGCGAAGGCGGAUCUCUGGGCAGUUCCUGACACUGAGGCACGAAAGCCAGGGGAGCAAACGGG